UAUUGCACAAUGGGGGAAACCCUGAUGCAGCGACGCCGCGUGAGUGAAGCAGGAUUUCGGCAUGUAAAGCUCUAUCUGCAGGGAAGAUAAUGACGGUACCUGAGUAAGAAGCCCCGGCUAACUACGUUCCAGCAGCCGCGGUAAUACGUAGGGGGCAAGCGUUAUCCGGAUUUACUGGGUGUAAAGGGAGCGUAGGUGGCAGGGCAAGUCAGAUGUGAAAGCCCGGGGCUCAACCCCGGGAGUGCAUUUGAAACUGUCCAGCUGGAGUGCAGGAGAGGUAAGCGGAAUUCCUCGUGUAGCGGUGAAAUGCAUAGAUAUUAGGAGGAACACCAGUGGCGAAGGCGGCUUACUGGACUGUAACUGACACUGAGGCUCGAAAGCGUGGGGAGCAAACAGG
rnacentral:rRNA from 1 species